rnacentral:rRNA from 1 species
UCGAACGGGCUCAUAUUGAACCUAGUGAUGUAUGAGUUAGUGGCGGACGGGUGAGUAACGCGUGGAGAACCUGCCGUAUACUGGGGGAUAACACUUAGAAAUAGGUGCUAAUACCGCAUAAGCGCACAGCUUCGCAUGAAGCAGUGUGAAAAACUCCGGUGGUAUACGAUGGAUCCGCGUCUGAUUAGCUGGUUGGCGGGGUAACAGCCCACCAAGGCGACGAUCAGUAGCCGGCCUGAGAGGGUGAACGGCCACAUUGGGACUGAGACACGGCCCAAACUCCUACGGGAGGCAGCAGUGGGGAAUAUUGCACAAUGGGGGAAACCCUGAUGCAGCGACGCCGCGUGAGUGAAGAAGUAUUUCGGUAUGUAAAGCUCUAUCAGCAGGGAAGAAAAUGACGGUACCUGACUAAGAAGCCCCGGCUAACUACGUGCCAGCAGCCGCGGUAAUACGUAGGGGGCAAGCGUUAUCCGGAUUUACUGGGUGUAAAGGGAGCGUAGACGGCAGCGCAAGUCUGAAGUGAAAUCCCAUGGCUUAACCAUGGAACUGCUUUGGAAACUGUGCAGCUGGAGUGCAGGAGAGGUAAGCGGAAUUCCUAGUGUAGCGGUGAAAUGCGUAGAUAUUAGGAGGAACACCAGUGGCGAAGGCGGCUUACUGGACUGUAACUGACGUUGAGGCUCGAAAGCGUGGGGAGCAAACAGGAUUAGAUACCCUGGUAGUCCACGCCGUANACGAUGAUUACUAGGUNUUGGGGGACCAAG